UUCUCUGGAGCAUCCAGGAGCAACAGGCAUUCUUCAUUCUCCUCACCUUGGCACUGGAUCCAGGGACUUCUGUGACCACUGCUUUGGGUGGUAACGGGGUGGUAGGACUGGGUGUGGAUGACAGUGGAAGGUGGCUGGAGCCAUCGGAGAGCUUCAGGAGCACCACAGAAGCCACAUGCUUGGCAGGGAGGGCACUUUUCUUGUUGCAGAGCCUGGCGCAGGGCAGGAGGUGAGGCCCUCCCUGAGGCCCUGCGGUUAACGGAGGCCUCGCAGAAGGAUGGUAGAAGAUGGAUGCAGGGAGGAAGGAGCUUGUCGCUGCUGCACUGGAGGUCACCCCUGGGGACACUCCUACUAAUGAGAAGAAACAAAAGAGACCCUCAGAAUACUGAAGUCAGAAAUGGGCAACAUUUAACCAUGUGGGAACAUGAUGAAUGGAAAUCAGAUGCCUUCUGAUGCCUAGCCACCCAGUGAACAUCUUUUUAUAAAUAGAAAUGAGUUUCUUGGCCAAUAAAGGAACGGAAGAACUAAUAGCGGUCAGUUACAAGGCGAGACCUGCACUGGGCCCUGAGUGUGCAGCCGCCGUGAGGGAGCAGCACGGAGGAGCUGCCCUCUUCCGCCAGUGAGGACAGCGCCACUCCCGCUCGCGUGGGCGUGGC